AAUAAGCCUUUCCAAAUUCAAAGGGUGAUUUUGGGAAGAGCGCGGACACUCAUCAAGUGCCGCUAUAUUGAUAUUUGGCACAAGUGGAACAUGAGUUGAAAACAUGCUUAUGUGAAAGUGAUAACAUAUAGUCAAGUAAUUCACAUGGUGAAAGCAUAUAAAGGCAGUAUUAAAUAAUACGAUAAAAUAAGCAAAAGAGAAAGGGGAAAAAAUACAAAGGAAAUAGGUUAGCAUUGUUCACAAAAAAUUCAAAACAUAAUUAAAUGAAGCGAAUAAAGGAGACAGGGAAGGGAGGUUCAUGAUAUAGAAACUUUGAGCAAAUAACGGAACGGGAAAGGGAGGUACCUAGAAACGGUCAUGUAAAGCAACUUAAUGAAUUAGAAAUCCCACAUAAGCUGAAUCUGCUAUGGUAAGAACCUAAAUAUCCCCAGCAGAGUUGCCAUGCUGUCGCACCCCAUUUUUCUCAUGAAGACGGGUUUAGACAUGUGACAACUCUUUUAAAAUGGUAUAAAAAGAGAAGAGUCGCCACCUAACGAUUGUAAGGUGCGUUAUGGUACCUAUUUGCAAAUAACUAUGUUUGACUAGUCAAGUUUGCAGGUACAAGAUGCAAAAUAUCACAACAAGUUCUUAUUAUCAAACUGGGGCAAUUUUCGCAUCCAAUAUCUCUCUAUUUUUGAUUUCUACUCAAUUCCAACGUCAUCGCCACUUGAGACCGGAAUAAUUUCUAGAAUUAACAUCUCCUUGAAGUAGUAAGUGCGGCUUUAUUCUCUUUAUAAUAUUAGUUUUCACUACCUACUUUUCUCUCCUCAAUUUUCGCAACAAUCUCUACCUUACUCAGAAUCACAUUACUUCCCAAUCCUAUUUUUCCUCAUACACCCUUCUAUUUUUUUCGAUCACAAUAUCCAAUAUGAUCAUAAUUCAAUACUGGUAAAUUUUUUUAGGGUAUUCAUGUCCUUCCCUAAUCUAGAACUACACACGACCUGAUUCUCGUAAAGCCCAGGAUAUGUAGGCAACUCAAAAACUGGUGUUCGGCCACAAUAUUUUUCAGGACUCUUAUUCCCAUUUAUUCUUACACAACUAUAUCACCAGUCGGACAAAAUUGGCUACUACCUCAAUUUCUUUGCCCAAAAAAUUCUUUCAUCGUUCUCGGGCAAAGAGGGGCAACUGUUGAAACCCAAUUUUGUCCCUCCUCCUAUUGAAUUUAUUCCUUUGAGCUUCUAUUUUUUGUAAAUGUUAAAGAUUCUAAUUUUUUACUUAUUUUAUCAAAAUACAAUGUUUAUAUUGCUAUCAUUUAUUAUUAAUAUUAUUGUUAUUAUUAUUAUUAUUAUUAUUAUUAUUGAUUACUAUAAUUAUUAUGUUUUUUAGUUAAAAUAGUAGCCCAAAUACUCCCCUAUUUAUCUAGCCCAACAUGUGCUCUCUGUCCAAAUGGAGCCCACUUCACCCAGCAAUAUCCUAAGCCCAACCACUUUAAACCAAAUCUCAACGAGACUAACCCCAAACCAAUUCUCCGAUCUUAUACCUUCCUCGCCAGCAACAAACAUCCAUUUUUCCCUUCUUUAGCCCAUUAUCAUAUUUAUUCUCUUGCUUUCCUUCCUUUUUUUAUUUAGUUAUUUCCUUAAUUAUUUUACUACUUUAUUACCAAAUGUCAUAGCAUAGUUUCUUCACAAAUCACUCAAAAUCAAAAAUUAUAGCUCUUCCUAUAAAGAAAGAAUUUUGGUGGAAGAUUUGGGUACGAAUUUAAUUGAAGAAUUUGUCCAAGUUCAUAGGAGUCCCCAAAAAGUCUUGUUGAUGUUGCUGGAUAACACCUUGUGAAUUUAGACUACUUUUGGGUAAGCGAUUUAACUAUUGCUCAUAUAAAAUUACAUAUGUUAUUUUAUCAAUAGUUAUUUGUUAUUUUAAAAACUUUUGUACUUACGGGUUUUUAAAGAUUGAAGCUACAAGUCAAGAUGCAAGUUUAGAAGAUGCACAAGCUAUUAUUAUUUUACUAAAAAUGUUAUGCAAAACUUGAUAUCAUAGUCUAGCUCACGAUGUUAGCUAAGUUUUUUUUGUUGAGGUGUUGAGAAAACAUAGAAAGUAACAUCAUCAUGGGAUUUGAACUUGAUAUAUUAUCUUUUUAUAUCUGGAUUUUUCAAUA